rnacentral:tRNA from 1 species
GGUCCUGAGGUGUUAUCAUGUCGGAUUGCAAAUCCGAAGACGCGGGUGACUCCCGCCGGGACUU